UGCUGGGAUUCUCCACAACACCGAAGUGUUGGCUUUGUCCUGCUCUUGGACUGCUCCUUUGGGAAGCCAGUACACCCCUCACCUUCAUCUGCUGGCUCCUCAGCUCUCCAUUGAAGCUGCUGUUUGCUCAUGAUGCACAUCAGGGAGCUGCUCACAGCUGAUGGAAGAGGAAGAAAAAUGUCUUUUUGACCUGGUUUUUCUUCCCCCCUUUUGUUUAUGGGGAAGAACAAAGGACUAAAAACUUCUUUGAACUCUGUCCCAGUAGGUGGAAGAAGCUCAAGAGGAGUUAGGAAAAGCAUAUUAAUCCUCAUUGCUGUCUGGGUGAGGCACUGAAUUUGUGCUGAGACUUGGGCAUGGUGACAGGAGCUGUGCUUCUGCUCCUGGGGAGCUCUAUCAAACACUCCUGUAAAGCAGAAAGGAAAGUUUCUCACUCCAUGGUCACAGUGGCUUUCCAUUCCCUGGUGGUAAGCCAAGGCAGAGGAAAUCCAGCCAGCCACUGUCCCCAGCGUGGUCCCUCCCCAGAUCAUUCCUGCCAGGCAGACUGGGAACCACCAAAUGCUGGGAUUGUUAAGUUUCCCUGGUGCUUAGGGUCUUUUAUACCCUUUCACUGCCAGUUCUGUUCAGCUGCUAAAUGAAUCAGAAUAUGGAAAAUGUCAAGUGUGAUACAAGAACCCUUAAUGUAACAGAAUCACAGAAUGAACUGGGUUGGAAAAGAUCUUUGAGAUCAUCAAGUCCAUCCUAUGACCUAUCCCCUCAUCAACCAAACCAUGGCUCUGAGUGCCA